ACAAAGGCUCUUCUAAGAGCCACCACUUCUCCUGUCAGCAGCUCAU
rfam:Oryzias latipes DNA, chromosome1, strain: Hd-rR.